rnacentral:rRNA from 1 species
UACGGAGGAUCCAAGCGUUAUCCGGAAUCAUUGGGUUUAAAGGGUCCGUAGGCGGUUUUGUAAGUCAGUGGUGAAAUCCGGCAGCUCAACUGUCGAACUGCCAUUGAUACUGCAGGACUUGAAUUAUUGUGAAGUAACUAGAAUAUGUAGUGUAGCGGUGAAAUGCUUAGAUAUUACAUGGAAUACCAAUUGCGAAGGCAGGUUACUAACAAUACAUUGACGCUGAUGGACGAAAGCGUGGGGAGCGAACAGG